AGAAAGACAUACACUUCCAAAAACCACACUCUAUAUUUUUUUUUAUUUCUCCUUUCUCGCCCCUGUUCCUUCUUAUUCUACUUCCUCUUCCUCCUUGACGCACCAACUAGUUUCAAAGCCCAUCCUUCUCUCUCCUGCGUAUUCGUAUACAUACAUAUACAUGGCUAUUCAGACAUUUUCGGUUUGGUCCCAGAUUCAAUUACCAGAAGCUAUAUUUUUUUGAAAAAAGAGGAUGGUUGGGAAUGGUGCUAGGAUUUCGAUUCCGGCGGGUGCCAUGAAGACGGUUGAGACCAUCAAAGAGAUCACUGCUGAUAACUACAGUGAGUAUGAGAUUCACGCAAUGCUCCUUAAAUGAAAUAUGAAUCCAAUGACGCUGCUCAACGCCUUCGUCUUCAGGGUUUUGUCCUCCCAUGGAGAUCUGUAUUGAUCUUCAUCCUCAGAUCCACUGAAGCUUUGCAAUGAAAGCUUCUCGCAUUCUCCAGCUUCCCCUUUCGGACUCUUGGGUCAACUUCAAGAUUCUCCGAUGAUUUGAAGUCAUAGAUUCCUUAACAAGGUAUGGGUGUGUUUGGUCUUUGUUGGCUUCGGUUUUCUAGCAGAGUGAAACUCGCACAAGGAAAUCAUGUAUUUUACAUCAGCCUCAUAACUUUUUGGAAGAGAGAAUCAUGGUGUAAAACUAUAUAUUUGUCUUGUUUUUUGUGGCUAAUGGAAUAAUUAGUUCUACUUAAAAA